rnacentral:rRNA from 1 species
GAAAUGCGAUACGUAAUGUGAAUUGCAGAAUUCAGUGAAUCAUCGAAUCUUUGAACGCACCUUGCGCCCCUUGGCAUUCCGAGGGGCACACCCGUUUGAGUGUCGUGAAAUCCUCAAAAAUCCUUUUUGGACUUACUGAAAAGGAUUUUUUGGACUUGGAGGUUUAAUGCUUGCCUUUCACCUUUGAAAGUGAGCUCCUCUCAAAUGAAUUAGUGGGGUCUGCUUUGCUUUGAUCCUUGACGUGAUAAGAUGUUUCUACGUUUUGGAUUUUUGGCACUGUUCCUUUGGAUGCCUGCUUCUAACUGUCUUUAUGGACAAUGGAUGGUGUUCCGGUCCCUGCCGUCUAAUGUCGGUGGGAGGCUGGACCCAUGAAUGAAAACCUUGACCUCAAAUCGGGUGAGACUACCCGCUGAACUUAA